rnacentral:lncRNA from 1 species
CUGGGAAAUGCCCGAACAUUCCCCAUCACCUCCAGCGCCAAGAUCGGACUCAUCUCUUGAAACCCUACAGGGUGCUCCUUCCGACCGCCCUGUUACCGCCGUCCUUGACGCAAUUUCCUGAAAGGAGACAAAGAGCCAUUUACUGGAACCGGGGCUGCCCCUGGAUUCUGAAAACUGACGGGAGGAAGGAAGAGUGUCCGGCCACUGGUCUAGUCCUUCCCGUUCACAGAUCUCAGGAAGUCCUGGGCGUGCCCCAGAGGCCUCGUGUCCAGCCUCUCCCGUGGCCGUUGGAUCCAAAUUCUGCGGAACCCAGAAAUCCCUAUUCAGAUGGAGGUCUUCUCCUUAAAAAGCAGCCAGUGAAUUCCAGACACUCGUAUCCUCUUUGCACGCGUCUCCGCGCCUCGAACGCCGUCCUGCUCCUGCUCCUGCUCCGGGCAGAGGAACAAAGGGGAGCAGCUGAGGUUCUCUCUGGGCUGGUCCCCAGGAGCUGCCGGUGGAAUGGGUCUGCGGGGGCCCGAGGACUGACAGAACGGCUAAUUAUAAGGACAUGUGGCCACCAGGAGCGACGUGAUUAUUUAUGCUGCUCUCGCCCCGUGGUCUCCACCAGAAGGGGGGUCUGA